rnacentral:rRNA from 1 species
UACGAAGGGGGCUAGCGUUGUUCGGAAUUACUGGGCGUAAAGGGCGCGUAGGCGGCCGCUCAAGUCAGAAGUGAAAGCCCCGGGCUUAACCUGGGAAUAGCUUUUGAUACUGGGUGGCUUGAGUUCCGGAGAGGAUGGUGGAAUUCCCAGUGUAGAGGUGAAAUUCGUAGAUAUUGGGAAGAACACCGGUGGCGAAGGCGGCCAUCUGGACGGACACUGACGCUGAGGCGCGAAAGCGUGGGGAGCAAACAGG